CCAAACUGUUGCCUCGGCGGGGUCACGCCCCGGGUGCGUCGCAGCCCCGGAACCAGGCGCCCGCCGGAGGGACCAACCAAACUCUUUCUGUAGUCCCCUCGCGGACGUUAUUUCUUACAGCUCUGAGCAAAAAUUCAAAAUGAAUCAAAACUUUCAACAACGGAUCUCUUGGUUCUGGCAUCGAUGAAGAACGCAGCGAAAUGCGAUAAGUAAUGUGAAUUGCAGAAUUCAGUGAAUCAUCGAAUCUUUGAACGCACAUUGCGCCCGCCAGUAUUCUGGCGGGCAUGCCUGUCCGAGCGUCAUUUCAACCCUCGAACCCCUCCGGGGGUCCGGCGUUGGGGAUCGGGAACCCCUAAGACGGGAUCCCGGCCCCGAAAUACAGUGGCGGUCUCGCCGCAGCCUCUCCUGCGCAGUAGUUUGCACAACUCGCACCGGGAGCGCGGCGCGUCCACGUCCGUAAAACACCCAACUUCUGAAAUGUUGACCUCGGAUCAGGUAGGAAUACCCGCUGAACUUAAGCAUAUCAAUAAGCGGAGGAA
rnacentral:rRNA from 1 species